UACGUAGGGUGCGAGCGUUGUCCGGAAUUACUGGGCGUAAAGAGCUCGUAGGUGGUUUGUCGCGUUGUCCGUGAAAUUCCCUGGCUUAACUGGGGGCGUGCGGGCGAUACGGGCAGACUGGAGGCCAGUAGGGGGAUGCGGAAUUCCGGGUGUAGUGGUGGAAUGCGUAGAGAUCCGGAGGAACACCAGCGGCGAAGGCGGCAUCCUGGACUGGUCCUGACACUCAGGAGCGAAAGCGUGGGGAGCGAUCCGG
rnacentral:rRNA from 1 species